AUGACCUGUGGCUGGGGGUGAAAGGCCAAUCAAACCGGGAGAUAGCUGGUUCUCCCCGAAAGCUAUUUAGGUAGCGCCUCGUGAAUUCAUCUCCGGGGGUAGAGCACUGUUUCGGCUAGGGGGCCAUCCCGGCUUACCAACCCGAUGCAAACUGCGAAUACCGGAGAAUGUUAUCACGGGAGACACACGGCGGGUGCUAACGUCCGUCGUGAAGAGGGAAACAACCCAGACCGCCAGCUAAGGUCCCAAAGUCAUGGUUAAGUGGGAAACGAUGUGGGAAGGCCCAGACAGCCAGGAUGUUGGCUUAGAAGCAGCCAUCAUUUAAAGAAAGCGUAAUAGCUCACUGGUCGAGUCGGCCUGCGCGGAAGAUGUAACGGGGCUAAACCAUG
rnacentral:rRNA from 4 species